CUGUGAGCAGGAAAGCAGGGGAUCGCAAGACCUUGCGCUUUGGGAGCGGCCGAUGUCGGAUUAGCUAGUUGGUGGGGUAAAGGCUUACCAAGGCGACGAUCCGUAGCGGGUCUGAGAGGAUGAUCCGCCACACUGGGACUGAGACACGGCCCAGACUCCUACGGGAGGCAGCAGUGGGGAAUUUUGGACAAUGGGCGGAAGCCUGAUCCAGCCAUGCCGCGUGAGUGAAGAAGGCCUUCGGGUUGUAAAGCUCUUUCGGUGGGGAAGAAAUUGCUUGGGUUAAUACCCUGAGUAGAUGACGGUACCUGCACAAGAAGCACCGGCUAACUACGUG
rnacentral:rRNA from 1 species